rnacentral:ncRNA from 2 species
AAAUUGAAGAGUUUGAUCAUGGCUCAGAUUGAACGCUGGCGGCAGGCCUAACACAUGCAAGUCGAGCGGUAGCACAGAGAGCUUGCUCUCGGGUGACGAGCGGCGGACGGGUGAGUAAUGUCUGGGAAACUGCCUGAUGGAGGGGGAUAACUACUGGAAACGGUAGCUAAUACCGCAUAAUGUCGCAAGACCAAAGUGGGGGACCUUCG